GUCCUUUUAAUCUUCAUUUUGAACAGUUGCUACUCCAAUUAAAUUCUACCACCUAGCAUUUUCAAACAGCUCCUGGUUGUUUCCACAAACUUCGUUAAUGGACAGCUGUUUCUGACAGCUCCCCUGAUUUGCCAGUGCUGUGUCGGCUGCCAGAGCAGGAGGCCCCGUUCUGUAUUCUGCUGCUGGCACCGAGGGAUAUGCAAAUGAGCACACGAAUCAGUUGUCACCACCACAGACACCGUGCAGGGAGAUGAUCAGAAUGCGUGGGGAGCAGAGUUGGCUGCAAGUGAGGGGAGAAAUGCGGGGGGGCUUCGAUUUCUUAAAGUGAGUUUUCUUUUCUUUUCUCUUUCUUUUUUCAAGUGUCACCAGUUCAUUUUCACUUUGUGGAAUUCAUUUGGUUUCAGUUCAGGAAAGUGCAAUCUGUUCCUCACCGAUCACUGACAGUAACCUGAAAGUCUGGGAAUGACAGAAACUUUUCAGUUAUUUGUAGAAGGACCUGAUACCACAGGGUUCGUCUCUAUACAUGAACACAGCCCUAGUCUGAAGAGACUGAAAAAAGAGAGACAACGGGUGUUGAAAGAGGAGUGAAGCUGCUAUUCCCAUCAGUAUAGACGUCCAGCAAGUCAGGGACAAGGUGAGUGAAUGAGGUUAGGUGGGGCCAGGAGCCCCACUCCAACUGAGCUGUUUCACUUCACCUUCCCUGCCAUGCAAGUCCUAACUCAACCCAUAACAAGAAAGUAAAUCCAGGAAUCUAAUUUCCAGAUUUGUUGGGUUGACCCUUAUAAAGCAUCAUAGCUGUAUUUCC
rnacentral:lncRNA from 1 species